UAGCUUGCAUAGGUGGAUUAGUGGCGCACGGGUGAGUAAUAUAUAGAUAACGUGCCUCUUAGUCUGGGAUAGCCAUUGGAAACGAUGAUUAAUACUAGAUACUCCUUCUAACUCCAAUGUUAGUCGGGAAAGUUUUUCGCUAAGAGAUCGGUCUAUAUCCCAUCAGCUUGUUGGUAGUGUAAGAGACUACCAAGGCUAUGACGGGUAGCGGGUUUGAGAGGAUGAUCCGCCACACUGGUACUGAGACACGGACCAGACUCCUACGGGAGGCAGCAGUGAGGAAUAUUGGACAAUGGGCGAAAGCCUGAUCCAGCAAUGCCGCGUGUGUGAAGAAGGCCUGCGGGUUGUAAAGCACUUUCAGUUGGGAAGAUGAUGACGUUACCAACAGAAGAAGCACCGGCUAAAUCCGUGCCAGCAGCCGCGGUAAUACGGAUGGUGCAAGCGUUAAUCGGAAUUACUGGGCGUAAAGCGUGCGCAGGCGGUUAUGUAAGACAGGUGUGAAAUCCCCGAGCUCAACUUGGGAAUUGCACUUGUGACUGCAUAACUAGAGUGCGGCAGAGGGGGAUGGAAUUCCGCGUGUAGCAGUGAAAUGCGUAGAUAUGCGGAGGAACACCGAUGGCGAAGGCAAUCCCCUGGGCCUGCACUGACGCUCAUGCACGAAAGCGUGGGGAGCAAACAGGAUUAGAUACCCUGGUAG
rnacentral:rRNA from 1 species